rnacentral:rRNA from 1 species
GAUGAACGCUAGCUACAGGCUUAACACAUGCAAGUCGAGGGGAAACGGCAUCGAAAGCUUGCUUUUGAUGGGCGUCGACCGGCGCACGGGUGAGUAACGCGUAUCCAACCUGCCCAUCACUUGGGAAUAACCUUGCGAAAGUAAGACUAAUGCCCAAUGACAUCCCACGAAGGCAUCCGAAUGGGAUUAAAGAUUUAUCGGUGAUGGAUGGGGAUGCGUCUGAUUAGCUUGUUGGCGGGGUGACGGCCCACCAAGGCAACGAUCAGUAGGGGUUCUGAGAGGAAGGUCCCCCACAUUGGAACUGAGACACGGUCCAAACUCCUACGGGAGGCAGCAGUGAGGAAGAUUGGUCAAUGGGCGAGAGCCUGAACCAGCCAAGUAGCGUGCAGGAUGACGGCCCUAUGGGUUGUAAACUGCUUUUAUAAGGGAAUAAAGUGGGUCACGUGUGACUUUUUGCAUGUACCUUAUGAAUAAGGACCGGCUAAUUCCGUG